AGUGAACGCUGGCGGUAGGCCUAACACAUGCAAGUCGAACGGCAGCACAGUAAGAGCUUGCUCUUACGGGUGGCGAGUGGCGGACGGGUGAGGAAUACAUCGGAAUCUACUUUUUCGUGGGGGAUAACGUAGGGAAACUUACGCUAAUACCGCAUACGACCUACGGGUGAAAGCAGGGGAUCUUCGGACCUUGCGCGAUUGAAUGAGCCGAUGUCGGAUUAGCUAGUUGGCGGGGUAAAGGCCCACCAAGGCGACGAUCCGUAGCUGGUCUUAGAGGAUGAUCAGCCACACUGGAACUGAGACACGGUCCAGACUCCUAAGGGAGGCAGCAGUGGGUAAUAUUGGACAAUGGGCGCAAGCCUGAUCCAGCCAUACCGCGUGGGUGAAGAAGGCCUUCGGGUUGUAAAGCCCUUUUGUUGGGAAAGAAAAGCAGCAGGUUAAUACCCCGCUGUUCUGACGGUACCCAAAGAAUAAGCACCGGCUAACUUCGUG
rnacentral:rRNA from 1 species